GCCUGUUUGCUCCUCACUUUCCAAAUUAGCGUGGUUUUCUGCCAUCAGCUUUGCAAGCAAGUUUCUUUGAGCUUGUUCAUGGGUUUGUUUUGAGACCACUGGAGUACUGAACACAGCUUCGCUCCAUCAUGGAAGAAAGCCUGUCGUGUUGUUGAUAUAUUGCAGUAUUCUGACAGAAAGGAUAACCACAGGUGGGGGAAGACUGCUAUUAGGUCAAUCAAAAACCAUCUCUUCUCAAGUUGAAAAGGCUGCUUCCUGAGCUGCUUCUCACAAG